rnacentral:rRNA from 1 species
GGAGGGUGCGAGCGUUAAUCGGAAUUACUGGGCGUAAAGCGCACGUAGGCUGUAUGUCAAGUCAAGGGUGAAAUCCCACGGCUCAACCGUGGAACUGCCUUUGAAACUGGCAAACUGGAGUAUGUGAGAGGGUGGCGGAAUUCCUGGUGUAGGAGUGAAAUCCGUAGAUAUCAGGAGGAACACCAGUGGCGAAGGCGGCCUACUGGGCACCAACUGACGCUGAGGCUCGAAAGUGUGGGUAGCAAACAGGAUUAGAUACCCUGGUAGUCCACACCGUAAACGAUGAAUACUCGCGGUUUGCGAUACAAUGUAAGCCGCCAAGCGAAAGCGUUAAGUAUUCCACCUGGGGAGU